rnacentral:rRNA from 1 species
GUGGGGAAUAUUGCGCAAUGGGGGAAACCCUGACGCAGCAAUACCGCGUGAGUGAAGAAGGUUUUCGGAUCGUAAAACUCUUUUAUUGGGGAAGAAGAAGUGACGGUACCCAAUGAAGAAGUCCCGGCUAACUACGUGCCAGCAGCCGCGGUAAUACGUAGGGGACAAGCGUUGUCCGGAAUCACUGGGCGUAAAGGGCGCGUAGGCGGUUUUAUAAGUCAGAUGUGAAAGGUACCGGCUUAACCGGUGACGUGCAUUUGAAACUGUAAGACUUGAGUACUGGAGAGUCAAGUGGAAUUCCUAGUGUAGCGGUGAAAUGCGUAGAUAUUAGGAGGAACACCGGUGGCGAAGGCGGCUUGCUGGACAGAUACUGACGCUGAGGUGCGAAAGCGUGGAGAGCGAACAGGAUUAGAAACCCGGGUAGUCC